rnacentral:rRNA from 1 species
UUUUAAGGACAGUGGCAAACGGGUGCGUAACGCGUAAGCAACCUGCCUCAUACUGGGGGAUAGCCCGGCGAAAGCUGGGGUAAACCCGCACGGUCCAUUUUUAUCACCUGGUAAGAUUGGUAAACAUUUAUGGGUAUGAGAGGGGCUUGCGUCUGAUUAGUUAGUUGGCAGGGUAACGGCCUACCAAGACGAUGAUCAGUAGGGGUUCUGAGAGGAUUGGCCCCCACAUGGGUACUGAGAUACGGACCCAACUCCUACGGGAGGCAGCAGUAGGGAAUAUUGGGCAAUGGAGGCAACUCUGACCCAGCCAUGCCGCGUGCAGGAUGAAGGCGCUCAGCGUUGUAAACUGCUUUUAUUGGUGAAGAACUGUGGUCCUGCGGGAUUACUUGACGGUAGCCAAGGAAUAAGCACCGGCUAACUCCGUGCCAGCAGCCGCGGUAAUACGGAGGGUGCAAGCGUUGUCCGGAUUUAUUGGGUUUAAAGGGUGCGUAGGUGGAACUGUAAGUCUGAUUUGAAAGCAGGCGGCUUAACCGUCUGAUGUGGUUGGAAACUGUGGUUCUUGAAUGGGUUGGCGGUAGCCGGAAUGGGUCAUGUAGCGGUGAAAUGCAUAGAUAUGACCCGGAACACCGAUUGCGAAGGCAGGCUACUACGACUUGAUUGACACUGAGGCACGAGAGCAUGGGUAGCGAACAGGAUUAGAUACCCUGGUAGUCCAUGCCGUAAACGAUGAUUCCUGGCUGUAUGUGUUCUAACAUGUGUGGCUGAGCGAAAGCGUUAAGUAAUCCACCUGGGGAGUACGCUGGCAA